AAUCGUCUUUGUAAUGGUCCGCUGCAAACAUAUUGACAGCCACAACUGUAGGCGCUAUCCUUCAGUUUUUUAGCGGCUAUACCGUCACGACUAAACUUUUACACAGAUCCCUUAAACGCUACGCUCUGUAAUCAUACAUCUGCCAUAGGAACAGAGCGGACCGAAUUAGGAAUAAUCACAUAAGUGUCCAAGCUGUUAAUUAA